rnacentral:rRNA from 1 species
CCCCUAAAAACGACCGUCCCACGUUCGGAUUGCAGGCUGCAACCCGCCUGUAUGAAGUUGGAAUCGCUAGUAAUCGCGGAUCAGCAUGCCGCGGUGAAUACGUUCCCGGGCCUUGUACACACCGCCCGUCACACCAUGAGAGUCGGGAACACCCGAAGUCCGUAGUCUAACUUUCACGAGAGGACGCGGCCGAAGGUGGGUUCGAUAAUUGGGGUGAAGUCGUAACAAGGUACC